CGAGUGCGGUUCCACAGAGGCACACUGACCAAGAUGAUCCACUCGACGCACCACUGCAGUAGAGCUGUAGAACCAAAAAGCGGAGUUCGAAACAGCACACAGAUUUGAUAAGAAUGGUUUUCUCCACAACCACAAGUAGCUCCCAUAUCUUCUGUGCUCGUCGUCCAUGGCUUCUCACUCGCUCACCACUUCAAACCCUUCAUAAUUCCUCUUUAAAUCUCAAUCACUCUUUCUCUCCUUUUACUUCACUUCGAACUUCUAUCUCAAUCUGUGGCAGUGACAGCAGCAAUUCCACUAAAACUAGCUUCGGAGUUGAACAGUGCAGAGCCGUUAAGAAGCAGAGUGGUUCAUCUGUGAAGAAGCGACAACGAACGCCGCCUAAGAAGAAGGGCGGUGCUCCAACGACGGUGGUUGGAGAAGAUGAAGCAAACGUCGUCGACGAUGAUGCUGCCGAUUUGGGCCCUCUCUCGCAAUCGUAUCAUCCCUUGCCGCUUCCGAAACCUCCCGCUGGGUUCGUGCUGGAUGAUCAUGGAAAGGUGCUUAUGGCUUCAACUAAGCGAAUUGCAACCAUUGUUGACUCUGUAAAUAAUUUUCCAUUAGAGUGCAUAAUAAGAAGAGUAUUCAGAAGUUCUCGAGGGGAUGAGUGUAUGCUAUUGUGCCCAGUAGACACGCCUGUUCAGAUAUUAAAGAGCACAAACAUUGAAGGGUGGUCAGCUGUCAGUGAUGAGGAGGUUGAGGAUAUUCUUCCUGCUGCUGCUUAUGCUCUUGCGAAGAUACAUAUGCAUCUAGUGUUCAGUGGAUUUUGUUAUACAGCACGGGGAGGAUUUUGUUUUUCAGAAGAGGACAUAUUUGAAUUUCGUGCAGAUGAUGAUCAAGAGAUUGAUGGCCUACCAACUGAAGGUGUAGAAAUUACUUGCUUCCAUCAUGAUGGCACGCAUUAUAUGAUCUAUACACCAUCUGAUCCACUUCUGUUUGUUGCAAUGAAGAAUCAGAAUGGCCUAUUGCAAAUUGCAGAUGAUGUAAGUAGUUGCAUCUAAUUCCUCCCCCCUCCCCGAAGUGGAACAUCUUUUGAGUUUAAGUGAAGGAUCUCUUAGAGGAUCCUGCUACCAUAGGUGCAAUAGAUGAAGAGACGGAAUUCAAUGCUUUAGUGGAGGAAGAGUCUGCUCUUUUUGAAUCGUUGUUGGGAGAAAGAUGACCAAGUUCUUAGUGUUCACCACAAAGUGGCAUUGUCGGGCCAUAUCUGACCAGCUGUUGGUGUUAACGGAAAAGCUUUGUGCUUAUACUGAUUCUGUUCACAUAACUAGUGCCAAGACAUAGCAGUUUACAACUUCACAUUGCGAGUGCCAAACACAGCAUCUUGGCUACAUGUAUAUAAUAUCUUGUGUACUAGUUCAACCAGGUUGAGGCUUUGUAUGAAUUUAUCGAUUUAAUUUUUACUAAUAGGUACUUUCAAGUGUCUAAAUUUUCAAGUUAUUGUCAGCUUUCUGUGGCUCGACCUCCAUUUCAAUUAUGUUCCAUGUCAUUUCAUUUCA